GCCAACUAUGUCUGCAGUAGUCAGAAUUCUUGAAGAUCAUCUUGACCUUCCUUGUAGCUUUGGUAUGUACCGAUCCGUCUCCAGCACUUAGGCCAACUAUGUCUGCAGUAGUCAGAAUUCUUGAAGAUCAUCUUGACCUUCCUGAGUUUAACUUGGAAUCAAGAUUCUAUGAUGAUUUUGAUGAUCAUCUCAACUUUCAAGGGUUAAGGGACAAGUAUGGCGAGAUGCUCAGCUCGAGCCAAAGUCAACCCAUCACACAUUCAUCCAAUAUUACAGGAAGAGAAAGUUCUUCCUCUUCAUCAGCUUAAAUUUGCAGUCAGAUCAAGAUAGUGAAAAAAAAGGUAGCACAUUAUGUUGGGACUGUUAACAAAAACUGAUCCAUAAUUUUAAGAUUAUGAGUUCUGAACCACAACCCUUUUUGCUCUCUUGGUUCUGGAUAAUUUCUUAACACGAAUACAAGGUCUAUAGUCUAUACCAAAGCUAUCGGUAAAUUAAGUGUAGAUCCGCCCCAGGUACUAUAUAUGUGGGGUUGUUGUUUCCUUACUGAUAGAAUGUACCGUACUCCCUUAAAAUCACAAAAUAAGUGAUUUUUGGGCCUUUUUCUUGUGGACCAAAAUAAGUGAUUUUUUCAGAUUUCAAGAAUAAAUUAAUUAUUUUUUUCCUACAUUGUCUUGGAGUAAAUAGUGUUGGAAUAUGUGUG
rnacentral:lncRNA from 1 species